GCGAAAGCCCCGUUCGGGGGUUAAGCUAGAGUGGCGGUCUCGGGGUAGAUGUAACACGUAGGUAAGUCUACCUUCGGGUGGGGAAUAACCCGCCGAAAGGCGGGCUAAUACCGCAUAAUGCAGCGGCACCGUUAAUAGGUUGGAAUUUUAAGGCUUUGGUUUAAAUGUCGGUUUUCCUGCAAAGGCCUCGCGCCUGAAGAGGAGCGCUGCCGGGCAAGAAUAUAAGCCUAGUUUGCGUUGCAGAGUAAAUUGCGCUUCCACCAAAGUGCCGCGAUCUGUAAGCCUGGUCUGAGGAAGGACCGGCCAGCCACACGUGGCACUUGACACACGGGCCAGACUCCUACGGGAGGCAGCAGUUAGGGAAGAGCGCGAGAGGGCGAAUAACCCUCUCGUCCGACGGUACCUUGCGUAAGCCACGGCUAACUACGUGCCCAGCAGCCGCGGUUAAUACGUAGGUGGCAUAGCGAAAUUCGGAAUUAUUGGGCGUUAAGGGCGCGUUAGGCGGUCGGUUAAGUCAGUUGUGAAAGCCCCGGGGCUUACCCCCGGAGGGUCCGACUGAUACUGGAUNGACUAGAGUACGGGAAGAGGUAGCUGGNAAUUCCCG
rnacentral:rRNA from 1 species